rnacentral:rRNA from 1 species
UACGAAGGGUGCUAGCGUUGUUCGGAAUGACUGGGCGUAAAGCGCACGCAGGCGGUUCGCCAAGUUUGGAGUGACAGUUGUCGGCUCAACCGACAAAGGACUUCAAAAACUGGUGAACUUGAGGACGAGAGAGGAACAUGGAACUCCAGGUGUAGUAGUGAAAUGCGUAGAUAUCUGGAAGAACACCAAUGGCGAAGGCAAUGUUCUGGCUCGUUUCUGACGCUCAGGUGCGAAAGCCAGGGGAGCGAACGGG